rnacentral:rRNA from 1 species
UACGAAGGGGGCUAGCGUUGUUCGGAAUUACUGGGCGUAAAGCGCGCGCAGGCGGCCAAACAAGUCAGGGGUGAAAGCCCAGAGCUCAACUCUGGAACUGCCUUUGAAACUUUUUGGCUAGAGGACGGGAGAGGUGAGUGGAAUUCCCAGUGUAGAGGUGAAAUUCGUAGAUAUUGGGAAGAACACCGGUGGCGAAGGCGGCUCACUGGCCCGUUUCUGACGCUCAGGCGCGACAGCGUGGGGAUCAAACAGG